UGGGGAAUAUUGGACAAUGGGCGAAAGCCUGAUCCAGCAAUGCCGCGUGAGUGAUGAAGGCCUUAGGGUUGUAAAGCUCUUUUACCCGGGAAGAUAAUGACUGUACCGGGAGAAUAAGCCCCGGCUAACUCCGUGCCAGCAGCCGCGGUAAUACGGAGGGGGCUAGCGUUGUUCGGAAUUACUGGGCGUAAAGCGCACGUAGGCGGCCAUUCAAGUCAGAGGUGAAAGCCCGGGGCUCAACCCCGGAAUUGCCUUUGAGACUGAGAGGCUAGCAGGUGAGAGAGGUAAGUGGAAUUCCGAGUGUAGAGGUGAAAUUCGUAGAUAUUCGGAAGAACACCAGUGGCGAAGGCGGCUUACUGGCUCAUACUAGACGCUGAGGUGCGAAAGCGUGGGGAGCAAACAGGAUUAGAUACCCCCGUAGUCC
rnacentral:rRNA from 1 species